UUUACCCCAACCAUAUCAACUAACAUAUAAAUUCAAAAAAAAAAUAACGGAUAAGGUUAUUAGAAAACUAUUGAUUAGAUAUUAAUAUAAGACACUUAUACAAAAAGCAUAAUAAAUUAUUUCAUUAAUAGGAUCAAAAAUUAUUACAAAUAAAUGUUUUCAAAGAUUGUUUGUAAAAUUACUGUGCAAAAUUCAAUGUGCAAAUUACAGUGCAAAAACACGUAACGACUUGUUCCAAUGACGAUUAGGAUAGCACUACCACGGCACUAAGCUGUUCGCCUUUGAGCAUUAGUGGUCUUUACACACACAUAAUUAUAAAUGUGUCAAAAUGAUUUCUUAUCUUGCGAAAAUCUAAAAGAAUAUUUUGACCAUCAUGAGUCAUCGAUUUUGUAUAAUGAAUACUCUUAUGACCAAAAGCCUAAUGAGUAUAAGCAUAACCCAACUUUAAAGGAAAGUUUUUCUGCAUGUUUUUCUAACCAAGUAAUGUUGCACUAAACAAGUGAAUUGACAAAGAAUAGCAACAAAUUUAUUGUCCCAAAAAAAACUAUAAUCAUGCACUGAAAAACAACCUUUCGUCAACAAAAGAAUGGCACAAAUUUCCAUUGAUAAAAUGUAAGAUAACAGAUGAUUCAUUUUCAUGUUGUGAAGAAUACAACUUUCUACAUCAGAUGAGAUAUAUGUUAAAGAAAGCAUUAAAAAUAAGAAUAACAAAUCAUACCGCUCUUCAUUGCCAAAACCUUCGCCACCUAUUAUGAAUAAGCCCAAUGCUAAAAGUGUAUAACACAAAUAUCAUAAUUUUUUCUUAAUGGUUUAUAAACUGAAAUAGAUUCUUUUUAAUUUAAUCUGAAUAGUAUCUAUCUAGCUAUUAGCCUUUUUUUUUGUAUUACUAAGAUUUUCUUUUGUAUUACUUUUAUUUUAACUAUUUGGGUGUCCUAUUAUAUGUAAUGUUGUUAAACUGGUUACAUAUAUUUAUAUCAUUGACAACAUUCUAUUUUAUUAAAUAAUCCUUUAAUCAACUUGAUAUGAAAAUUGUAAAUUGACUGAAAGCAUGCUGAAAUUGUUUGAAUUCAGAAAUUGAAAGAGUACAAAAUUGGUUGAAAGAUUAAAUUAAGUAACAGAGAUGCAAAAUGUUAUUCUCAAGGAGCUUGCAGAAAUAAGAGUUCUUUUAAAAGAAGUUAUAGAAAUUAAGUUUCAGGCUACUGGGGUGAAGUUGCUAGAAUCAGUGGACGAAGUGGUUACACUGGAUAAUAAACUAAAAGAUAAAACCGAGUAUACUAAUUAGAUAUCGGCGACGUGGAAGAAGAUGUUGACGGCAAUGCAGAAAUAGAGUUUCUUAUGUAUAUUUUUGUGAAAUAAAAUUAAGUAAUUUUAGUUAAAA